rnacentral:rRNA from 1 species
GACGAACGCUGGCGGCGUGCUUAACACAUGCAAGUCGAACGGAAAGGCCCUGCUUUUGUGGGGUGCUCGAGUGGCGAACGGGUGAGUAACACGUGAGUAACCUGCCCUUGACUUUGGGAUAACUUCAGGAAACUGGGGCUAAUACCGGAUAGGCGCUCCUGCUGCAUGGUGGGGGUUGGAAAGUUUCGGCGGUUGGGGAUGGACUCGCGGCUUAUCAGUUUGUUGGUGGGGUAGUGGCUUACCAGGGCUUUGACGGGUAGCCGGCCUGGGAGGGUGACCGGCCACAUUGGGACUGAGAUACGGCCCAGACUCCUACGGGAGGCAGCAGUGGGGAAUAUUGCACAAUGGGCGGAAGCCUGAUGCAGCAACGCCGGGUGCGGGAUGACGGCCUUCGGGUUGUAAACCGCUUUCGCCGGUGACGAAGCGUGAGUGACGGUAAUUGGUAAAGAAGCACCGGCUAACUACGUG